CUCUCUUUGCUGCUCUGUUGAUUCACUUUGCCUCGUUGAGCCUGAAGGAGGCGACGCGUCCUCUUUACGGCUCUUUACGCUCAAACUAAACCAAACGCUCACUUUGCUAAAUGUUUGCGAAGGACGGAAAAACCCAGACUUAGCUGGUGAUAUAUGCUAAUGAGUUCCUGGAGAAUCUGCGAGAAAGUGAAAGUCAAGGCAUCGUCUGAUGUGCAAACGUUGUGGAGGUGAACACACACAAGGAAAAUAGAAGGGAUGAAUUGUUAAAAUGCCUCCAGCCUGAAGGUGAACCAGUGAACUAAUCAUGGACACGAGUCACUUUCUCAGGGAAAACCCUUGAGCCGCACAGGAUUUCCAUGAGCUGCCGAAAAGGUCACGUAAGUAGUUCUCCAGUCAUUAGCAAACGAUGGCAUUCAUUUCAUAGAAAAUGUCAAAGAUUAUGAGUUUAAGUUUUUUUCCAUUGAGGCCGAGAAGGCAGAGGAGAGGAGAGGAGAGGAGAAGAGGGGAGGAAAGAGCGAGAGAGCAGAGGAAAUAACAGGCCUGAAGCAGAGCGAGCGGAGGAAGAGGACUGGACGUAGUUUUGCCCGUUGGUGAAGUUAUGGUUGAAUUUGACUGAAAAUGUGUCACGUUUAUUUAAUAUCAACCAUCAUCUGAUGGAGGAAAUGAUUAUUUUAAGGAUUAAAGAUCAAUCUGAAGUUUCUAUAAUGAGCAGGUUCUCAGUGAACUUUGGUAAGAAUCCACCAUCUGAUGUUGAACAGAAUUUGGUACGUGUAUGUUUGUGGUCAUGAUUUUGUCUCGGUCUUGGCCCCUGAAAUUUAACUUCACAUAAAAGUUCUUGCUCUUGA